AUGUUAUAGUCUUUCUUUUCCUCUUAGUGUCACCUUAGUUAGACUUGUAGUUACUUGUCUCAUCAUUCUGGAUUUACGCAACGACGACAUUUGGUGUUGCACGUUUCUUCGCUGUUUUAUUGUCCUUUGUAUAGAGCGUAAGUUCUUCUAAUAGACCAACAUAUCUGCGAGCAAGGAUCUGCUUAGGGACAGUGAGACAUCAGCGAAUACAACAACGGAACCAUAUCCAAAUUGUAGCACAAAACUUGUACAGCUGUGAUACCUCCCAAACACCUAUGCAGUUUGGAAUGCUUGUCAGGCGAAUGCAGAUUAAUGUAAAAGAUGUCAAAUGUUAGACAUGUGGAAAAGGCCUGAUAGGAUGUGUGGGCGCCUUUGGUAACAUAUGAUUUUUCAUGUUGGCUACACCAAGGCAGUAAUAACUGUGCUGCAAACAAUCUGCAAAACAUGCUUGUCUGUCCAUCUCAGUGAUGAGAUGGCAAAUUUGUUGAGUAAAUCUGACUAAGGAAGCAAAUCUGAGAAGUGUUCCUAAAAGUAACUUGUCCCAGUGUGAUUUUCAUAGCAAUCCAUCAUUUGUUCCAAAGAUUUUUUUAUGAAGCUACAACAUAGAAGGUCUUGACCCAGUAAGCAUCAUACGGGGAGUUCCUAUGUAUGAAAGGAACUUUCUUCAGUAUUGAUACUGGGAUAAAUGACUUUGUUCUCAUCAACUUUCAGUUUAAAGAAACCAUUAACUCCUCAAAGACCACAAGUACACCUGUUACCACCACCCGGUUCCAAAUCGAUGAUUGCUUGGAUUCUAGAAAAAAACAAUGCUCGGUAAAGUAAAUUUUACAGUUGCCAACCACAAUA